UACGUAGGGUGCGAGCGUUAAUCGGAAUUACUGGGCGUAAAGCGCGCGUAGGCGGCUUUUCAAGUCGAUUGUGAAAUCCCCGGGCUUAACCUGGGAACUGCAGUCGAGACUGUCUAGCUAGAGUAUGGGAGAGGGAAGUGGAAUUUCAGGUGUAGCGGUGAAAUGCGUAGAUAUCUGAAGGAACACCAGUGGCGAAAGCGACUUCCUGGACCAAUACUGACGCUCAUGUGCGAAAGCGUGGGGAGCAAACAGG
rnacentral:rRNA from 1 species